GACGUAGGGUCCAAGCGUUGUUCGGAAUUACUGGGCGUAAAGCGCACGUAGGCGGCUUUGUAAGUUAGAGGUGAAAGCCCGGAGCUCAACUCCGGAAUUGCCUUUAAGACUGCAUCGCUCGAAUCAUGGAGAGGUGAGUGGAAUUCCGAGUGUAGAGGUGAAAUUCGUAGAUAUUCGGAAGAACACCAGUGGCGAAGGCGACUCACUGGACAUGUAUUGACGCUGAGGUGCGAAAGCGUGGGGAGCAAACAGG
rnacentral:rRNA from 1 species